GUCAGCUGGAAAAUUUUCAUUUCAAAGGCCUAUUCUGCCACAGAAUACCUGAAAAUAAGGAGCUAUGAAGCAUCCCAGUUCUGUGUUUGUCUCUGUUUUGGGGUCCACAGGACUGCCAGGAUCACUAUGUGGGAAGGAGCUACUGGGUGCUGAGGUGAAAGAGCGAAGAAGGAUCUUUCUGUAGUUCUAGAUGCUCUCCCAUACAAGUGUGAGCUGAAAACUCUGGGAGCAUCAUUCUGCUCAUGAAGAAUUUGCAGCACUGGAGCAGAGACUGUCUCCAGAAGGAUAUGAAAGUCAGCUUUGCCAAAGGUUGUACUGGAGUGAAUUUAUAUUAUCCAGAUACCAACAUUUGCUGUCUCUGAAGUCAACUCCACAGCUGAGUCCCAGAACUUUGGGUCUAUAGAACGACAGCCCACCAUGACAUACCACUCUCCUGAGAAAUCCUCUUUAUAAAUUCAAGAUUACUGUUGCUAGAAACAAAGAAACGGAUAAUGACGUGUUUGCAGCCAGCCUCAUGUUUCUUUUCUUUGCCAUUUUAAAAUGAUAAAAAAAUCAUUAUUAUUUUUUUUUCUUCCUUUGAUUGCCUCUUUUGUAUGUGAAUUGUCUCUGUAGGCUGAAAUUCAGGACACUGUGCCCAAGGAGCAAAGAGAGAAGUGGCAAUAGCCAAACAGUGAGAUUUGUCAUCACAGUCUAAAGCUGGAAACAAGCAUGUUAAACCAUGCACCUGGGCAUCUGGAUGCCAACUUGCAUCUUCCCGUGACAGACAAGAGAAGGUAUGAAAGAUGAAGGAACACCUUGCUGAGCAAACUUUUACUUACGCAUUGCAGAUAAAGAACUACCUGGAAAGCACUUAACUGUGCUUGAGAAACAAAGGAGGAAGUGUGGGCUUAAGGAAGACAGAAGCCCUGGUCUGAAUAGAAGGAAUUAGUUCUGCAGAAGCCAGUGGAGGAGACCAGAGGUGAAUGGAGGUCAGAAGAACGGGGAGAAAGGACCAGAGAAAGAGAAUCUCAUGAAUGCUCAACACCAUGACCCAGGAAAAAUCACAGGAAAUUAGAUUUCUCUGCAGCAACAAGUAAAGUCUUAUCAAACCUUGUUUCACCAUCACAUAAACAUUACACCAUCACUGCAGGUUUGUGGUCAACAUACAGUUAAUUUAACAUAUCCUGAAGCUGUGUUAGUGCUAAACUUAUUACAUCUGACAACUGGCAAUUGCCUGUGUGACUGUGCUUUGAUGUCUCAUGGUUACCAAGAUAGAUACUUAUCCUGCUCUGAGGACUCCUGUGUCCAGGCCCUUCAAAAAAAACAGCUGGUGUGGGGGGAAGAUCCCACCCCAAGUGCCUGCCAAAUGCUUGGAGGGAUGUAAAGCAAGGAGAACCUGCAACUUUCAAGAUGUGAGAGAAAUGUAUCAGGAGGAAAAGAACGAUGACAUCCAAACUCUACAAAGGACUGGUAUUACAAGUGUCUGUGCAGGUGGGAAA